ensembl:snoRNA
CUAUUUGACAGACCUGGAGUAGUUACUGUCUACUGGUAAUGUUUCCACUAUAAAUGAAAGAAAAAUGUGUCCUCACAUUUUCUGUCUGUCCGAUUGUGGCAGCUAAGAUUAAAUGGAGGAAUACAGGA